rnacentral:tRNA from 1 species
UCCCUGAUGGUCCAGUGGCUAAGACACUGUGCUCCCGAGGCAGGUGGCCCGAGUUCGAUCUCUGGUCAGGGAA